GACGAACGCUGGCGGCGUGCCUAAUACAUGCAAGUUGAGCGCUGAAGGUUGGUACUUGUACCAACUGGAUGAGCAGCGAACGGGUGAGUAACGCGUGGGGAAUCUGCCUUUGAGCGGGGGACAACAUUUGGAAACGAAUGCUAAUACCGCAUAAAAACUUUAAACACAAGUUUUAAGUUUGAAAGAUGCAAUUGCAUCACUCAAAGAUGAUCCCGCGUUGUAUUAGCUAGUUGGUGAGGUAAAGGCUCACCAAGGCGAUGAUACAUAGCCGACCUGAGAGGGUGAUCGGCCACAUUGGGACUGAGACACGGCCCAAACUCCUACGGGAGGCAGCAGUAGGGAACCUUCGGCAAUGGACGAAAGUCUGACCGAGCAACGCCGCGUGAGUGAAGAAGGUUUUCGGAUCGUAAAACUCUGUUGGUAGAGAAGAACGUUGGUGAGAGUGGAAAGCUCAUCAAGUGACGGUAACUACCCAGUAAGGGACGGCUAACUACGUG
rnacentral:rRNA from 1 species